UGCUGGAACAGGUGGCCUAAUGGUUAGAGUCUCGGACUUGUAACCUGAAGGUGAACCUGAAGGUCGUGGGUUCGAGUCUCAGGUCCGGCAG